rnacentral:rRNA from 1 species
UACGUAGGGGGCAAGCGUUGUCCGGAUUUAUUGGGCGUAAAGAGCGUGUAGGCGGUCAGGUAGGUCCGUUGUGAAAACUCGAGGCUCAACCUCGAGACGCCGAUGGAAACCAUCUGACUAGAGUCCGGAAGAGGAGAGUGGAAUUCCUGGUGUAGCGAUGAAAUGCGCAGAUAUCAGGAAGAACACCCGUGGCUAAGGCGGCUCUCUAGUACGGUACUGACGCUGAGACGCGAAAGCGUGGGGAGCAAACAGG